CUACAGCUAGUACCAUAAUCAAUGUUGAAAUGCUGAAUGCUUUUUCUCUAUGAUCAGGUCAGAUUCUUUUCUUUUCUCCAUACCUAAUAUAUCCAUCCAUAGUUCUUGGUUCAUAUAUUUCUCUAAAAUAUAUUCUUUCCAGGGGAGGAGCCAAGAUGGCGGAAGAGCAUGGAAGCUUUUUGCGUGUCUUGUGUCCAUGAAAUACAGCCAGACCAACACUAAACCAUCCUACACACCUAGAAAACUGAUUGGAAGAUUAACACAACAAUCUGCACAACCUGAACCACAGAAUUCAGCAGGUAUGCGACAUGAAGAGCUGAACUUGGGCAGCAAGAAGCCCCGAAAGGCAUUUCAUACAGACCACCCUGGGUCAGUUCUAUGUUUACAAAUUUGUGCCUAUCCGUAUUUUCAUCAGAGUGCUGACAAGAAGCAAAUGACAUUCUCUAUGGAGUAAUUCAGGCAAGUUUAAUGAAGGGACUUUUUUUUUUUAAUGUUUAUGUAUUUUGGAGAGAGAGACAGAGACAGAGCGUGCAUGGGGGAGGGGCAGAGAUAGACGGAGACAGAAUCCGAAGCAGGCUCCAGGCUCCCAGCUGUCAGCCCAGAGCCCGACUUGGGGCUCACAAUCACG
rnacentral:lncRNA from 1 species